CACCCGAUAGCGCACGGCGCGCACCUGCUUGGCUUGGACGACUGCCCCCCCUCAGUUGUGCAGGAGGUCCCCGUUCGAUCCGGGGUCGGGUGG